UACGUAGGGCGCGAGCGUUAUCCGGAAUUAUUGGGCGUAAAGAGCUCGUAGGCGGUUUGUCGCGUCUGCUGUGAAAGCCCGGGGCUCAACCCCGGGUCUGCAGUGGGUACGGGCAGGCUGGAGUGCAGUAGGGGAGACUGGAAUUCCUGGUGUAGCGGUGGAAUGCGCAGAUAUCAGGAGGAACGCCGGUGACGAAGGCGGGUCUCUGGGCAGUAACUGACGCUGAGGAGCGAAAGCGUGGGGAGCGAACAGG
rnacentral:rRNA from 1 species